GACUGGGAAUAGCUCCGCCUUUGCCAUCCUGGGGUAUUCCUCAUGCUGCCACACGGGUCAGGAAGGGAUUCUCCCUGGUUGUCAGACUGGGCAGAAGAUUGGUGAAGAAACCUCCAGAAGUUUCAUAGAUGUCACAGACAUUCGGGCUGGAAGGGACCCCAGAGGAUCAGAGUCCAGCCCCACACCCCGGGGCCAGGAAGUCAGCUGGGGUCACAGGAUCCCGGCGAGAUAAGCAUCCACAUUUCUCUUGAAGGCAUUCAAAGUGGGUGCUCGAAUCACCUCCGAUGGCAGGCUAUUCCAGACCUUGGGGGCUCGGACAGUGAAGAAAUUCUUCCUUGCGUCCAGCCUGAAACAGUCAUGGCACCCGGGAUUCCCAGGCGGUCUCCCAUCCAGGCCCAAUACCCUGCUCGCGGCUGGUGGGAUCAUGGCCAACGUCAGUGGGAACAACGUGGAGGUGAAUCUCCAGCGGGCCCCUGAGAUAUUCAUGUGAAAAUGCUUCAAUAAUUUGUAAGAACUAAAACAGCGUGGGAGAGAAGACCAUGAAGGUAAAGAAGGAGCGGGACCAGCGUUGCACCCUGGGGAAGGACAGGAGGUACAAGACCCUCCCUCUUUCCCAGGGAUAUAAAUCCCAGUGGACUGACGCCUUCCAAGUGCACCAGGGAUCUGCUGCCGUCCAGCUCCAAAAGAGAGAAAUAAAUAGAA